UCCCGUCCCGAAACUAUCGAAACGCAUAGAGGAAAUGACCCUUUUACCCCUAGUUUGUUUUGUUAUGUUUUUGGUUACUUGGUGUGGUGUUGGCAGGUGCUGGGCCACCCACACACACCCUCAUUGUCCCUAUCCCUCUCUCAGUCUCUUUCCCUGUCUCUCUCUCUUUCCCGAGUCCUCUAUCCUUCUUCUUCUUCCUUCAAACUCGUACGGACACACACACAACUACACUAUUUCACCACAGAUCGAAGGAACUAAGGGCACAGUUGAGAUCGUGAGGUCGUGGGGAGCAAGAUCAUACCAAUAUCAGCUUGUAGAUGUGUUGGUGAGGUCCCAAGGAGCUUGGGAGUGCAUCAUUGGACGGAAUUGGACGUCGGAUUAGCCUGGUUCGAGUUUGACCGGUUUUGGUAAUUGGUGACAGGUGACACGUAUCCCGAGGACGAGCGUGCUCACACGAGGCAGGGGGGCUACGACCCUUCCACAUACCAGUGAGUGGGCUUUUGGUUUUCCGUAUAUACCUAUAUACAUUUAUAUUCCCAGAAAUAGUUAAAAAGGGUUAUUCGUUUUAUGCCAUGCACCAUAUCCUUGUUGUUUAUGUAUUAUCAUAUGCAUUAGUAGUGACAUACAUUUACAUAUUUAUAAUUGGUGCUGUGGAGGCGCAGGUAAGUGCCAGGUAAGCG